CUCGUUUAACAAAAUAUAUAUCACUUUGGGUGUAUUGAUAACCGGAGAAGAUGGAGAAGAAGUUGGUAGUGCAACUCUUGCUUGUUGUUUUAGUAGCAAUCGGCCCGCUAACCGAGAAGAAGAUAGAAGCAACAUGCAUAGCACACACCUGCGGUUCAGAUAAAGACUGCGUAGACUUUUACCAGCCUAAUCCAGGAGUCCCUUGCUUUUGCGAUCUUGGAUUAUGCAACUGUGGCCAUUGUUAUGUUCCCCCGAGUGCUGAUGGGGCAGGCAACAAGAUCUUUUCGAAUACUCCAUGAUCCUUCCCAAAAUUAAAAAAUGUCACCGUAUGGCACCCCCACUUCCGGAUAGUUAAUCGUCCAAUGAAAAGUUGAUAAAACAUUGCGGCUC